GUUCACACAGCCUCAGCCUGGGCUCUAGAAUCUCUGCGGAUGCCUACCAUAAUUCAAUAAAGGGGCUCACUAGGAAAAGCCAAGAUGUGCCUUCUAGUGAAGGGCAGAAGGUAGAUUGCAGGCAGAGGAAAUCUGGUUCUAAAGUACAUAGCAGAGCUUGUCUGCAGGUACAUGGAACUGGACACUAAGACUUCUUGUCCAAAUCUUAAAUGGGGCACAAGAUGGCUGACAGAGAUGACGCCUGGCAAAAUAGAAUCAGGAUAUCUUCUGAUUCUAGGUCUGGAUGUUUGCUGGUAUACAAGCAUGGAGCUGCUAUUCAUGUUGACCAACAGUCUUAAGCAGAAAGAAAUAGCUUCUGGAAAAAUAACUAUAAUAUUGGCACAUUUCAGCAUCUCAAAGCAGAUUUUUGCAAGACGGUAAAUGACAACACAAGAUAUUUCAAUAAAAUGCCUACAUGUUGAAAGACCCUCCAACGGAAAAUAUACCAAGAGCAGAGCUACCUGAAAUAUAAUCUUAUUUCAUUGACAUACACUCCCUGGGAGAAAGUAAAGUCCAAAUUUUAUGUUUCUUGAAAUUAGACUUAAGCAUUAUAUCACAAUAUUUUUUCACCUUUAGAAUUAGAAAUCCAAAGAAAAGUCCUCCCUCCCACCUUAUUUUCUGUCAGUCUCAGCUGGAGGUAUGCUUGGGGUUUGGACAGUUUCAAGAAUUUUUAAUAACUGCAGAACCACCUGUCUCUUGCACUAAAA
rnacentral:lncRNA from 1 species